rnacentral:rRNA from 1 species
AGUGAACGCUGGCGGUAGGCCUAACACAUGCCAGUCGAACGGCAGCACAGUAAGAGCUUGCUCUUACGGGUGGCGAGUGGCGGACGGGUGAGGAAUACAUCGGAAUCUACUUUUUCGUGGGGGAUAACGUAGGGAAACUUACGCUAAUACCGCAUACGACCUACGGGUGAAAGCAGGGGAUCUUCGGACCUUGCGCGAUUGAAUGAGCCGAUGUCGGAUUAGCUAGUUGGCGGGGUAAAGGCCCACCAAGGCGACGAUCCGUAGCUGGUCUGAGAGGAUGAUCAGCCACACUGGAACUGAGACACGGUCCAGACUCCUACGGGAGGCUGCAGUGGGGAAUAUUGGACAAUGGGCGCAAGCCUGAUCCAGCCAUACCGCGUGGGUGAAGAGGGCCUUCGGGUUGUAAAGCCCUUUUGUUGGGAAAGAAAAGCAGCAGGUUAAUACCCCGCUGUUCUGACGGUACCCAAAGAAUAAGCACCGGCUAACUUCGUG